AAAUAAUUAAUUAACUAUCUUUUUCAAAUAGAACAAAACAAGUUAUUUUUUCAUAAACUUCAAAACCAACACCAUAAAUAAAUAAACAUCAUAAAUUAAUAAAAAUUAAAAAAAAAUAUUAUUCAACUGCUUCAUAGUUUUCAAUAAUUAAAAAAUAAAAAUUUGUUCAUUAGAUUUCCAAAACCAUUGAAACCUUCAUGGGUUUUCUAAAUGUUGUCAAUAAUUAAGAAUAAAAUAAAAUUGUUCACUAGGUUUCAAAACCAUUCAAUCCUUUAGUAAUUUUCCAAACGCAUUCAACUGAUUCAUGAUUUUCAAUAAUUAAAAAAAAAAAAAGAAUUGUUCACCGAGAAAGGGUUUUUCAAAUCUAUGGUUUUCGAUAUGAAAAAAAUUAAAAAAAAUUCACCUGAGUUUAAAAACCACUGUAACCUUCCAUGGUUUUCCAAACCCAUUCAACGACAAUGGCUAAAAAUAAGCUUCACUAUUUUUCCCCUUUCAUGCUUUUCCACAUCAAUGCAUCACUAUAUUUCUCACAGCACAAACCAAACCAAUAUUUAUAUAUAACUACGUAAAAUCUAAACAUGAAAAUUUAAUCAAAACUCUAUUAGUACCUGGGAUUUGCGGUGAUGAAGUGCCACAAAAACAAAGAAUAAAAAGAACUUAACAAAGGAAUAUGAAAAGGGGAAGAAGAAAAAGGGAUGUGACUGCUAGGUCAAGAGAAAAGAGAGAGGAAAAAAGGUGGGGAAGGUUUAAAAGUAAAAAGUAAAAGUAAAUCUCUGUAAGUUAAAACUCCAAACCUUCACAGAAUUCAUGAAAAACAGAAUUCAUGUAAAAGUAAAUAUGACAAACAGUAUGCUAUAUGUGAAAUUAAAAAAGUAAUCUGUCUUAUUAAUGAAAAGAAAAUCGAAGAAUCAUACAUUACAAAAUGAUGAAAUUAAACAACAUUUUUAUAAAUAUAUUUCAGUUCUCAAUUGUUUUAGCAUUAAACGUAUUGUGAACCAUAUUUCUUUUUCCUAAGGUCUUCCCUUUCAGU
rnacentral:lncRNA from 1 species